UACAGAGGGUGCAAGCGUUAAUCGGAAUUACUGGGCGUAAAGCGUGCGUAGACGGUUAUGUAAGUCGGAUGUGAAAGCCCCGGGCUCAACCUGGGAAUUGCAUUCGAGACUGCAUAGCUAGGAUGCGGAAGAGGGAAGUGGAAUUUCGGGUGUAGCGGUGAAAUGCGUAGAUAUCCGAAGGAACAUCAGUGGCGAAAGCGACUUCCUGGUCCAGCAUCGACGUUCAGGCACGAAAGCGUGGGGAGCAAACAGG
rnacentral:rRNA from 1 species